CAUGCAAAGCGAACGAUGAAGCCCAGCUUGCUGGGUGGAUUAGUGGCGAACGGGUGAGUAACACGUGAGUAAUCUGCCCUUCACUUUGGGAUAAGCCCGGGAAACGGGGUCUAAUACSGAAUAGGASCUUUUUUCGCAUGAGGGUUGUUGGAAAGAUUUUUCGGUCAGGGAUGGGCUCGCGGCCUAUCAGCUUGUUGGUGAGGUAAYGGCUCACCAAGGGGACGACGGGUAGCCGGCCUGAGAGGGUGACCGGCCACACUGGGACUGAGACACGGCCCAGACUCCUACGGGAGGCAGCAGUGGGGAAUAUUGCACAAUGGGCGAAAGCCUGAGGCAGCGACGCCGCGUGAGGGAUGAAGGCCUUCGGGUUGUAAACCUCUUUCAGCAGGGAAGAAGCGAAAGUGACGGUACCUGCAGAAGAAG
rnacentral:rRNA from 1 species